rnacentral:rRNA from 1 species
AUGUAUGAGAAUGUGGUUCAGUGGUGGUUCACAGGUUUCAAUGGUCACCCGAAAUGGAAUGAACAUCAUCUAUCUUGGGAUGACAUUCGCAAUUUACAUAGUAAGAGUAACCAUCUCUGGGUGGUUUUGGGGGAUUUUAAUGAGAUUUUAUACCCUUCGAAAAAAGAGGGUGGUGUAGCUAGACCACUUGGUAUGAUGAGAGAGUUCUGUGAAUGCCUAAUGGAUUGUGGGCUGGAAGAUCUAGGAUAUAAUGGGGGCAUGUUCACUUGGAGGAGAGGCGAAAUACAUGAGCGUCUUGAUCGUGCAGUCUGUAACUUAGCAUGGGCAAACAAAUUUCCACGAGCGGCAGUUAUCAAUGAAGAACAUGUUCAUUCUGACCAUCGCCUAAUUAUACUAGAUAUGGAGUAUUUGGAUGAAAAAAAUCUUUAA